UACAGAGGGUGCAAGCGUUGUUCGGAAUUACUGGGCGUAAAGCGCGCGCAGGCGGAUCCUGUAAGUCUGGAGUGAAAUCUCACCGCUCAACGGUGAGGCUGCUUUGGAUACUGCGGAUCUGGAGACCGGUAGAGGCUGGUAGAAUUGCAGGUGUAGCGGUGGAAUGCGUAGAUAUCGAGAGGAACACCUGCGGCGAAGGCGGGUAGCUGGGCCGACACUGACGCUGAUGCGCGAAAGCUAGGGGAGCGAACAGG
rnacentral:rRNA from 1 species